rnacentral:lncRNA from 1 species
AAUUGCUUCUUUUUGUUUCCUGGUUGACUCCAGGUUUAAGUGGAGAAUCGUCUUUCAAAGAAAUAUUAUCAUUGAACAUCUUUCUGAAUAUGGUAGUUUGAUGGAUAUUCGGAAUUAUUUGGCCAUCUGAGUCCAAGAGCAGAGUUUCCAGGAUGCUAAUAGCAUGUUCACUGUGGAUUCCUUUUACAGAUUUCUUAAUUGCAGAAAAACACUGUUCAGUGAUUUUGAAGGUUCGGGUCCUUGAGAAAGUGAAGCUCUUUUUAACAUUAGCUUCUAAAGG